GACGAACGCUGGCGGCGUGCUUAACACAUGCAAGUCGAACGGAAAGGCCCCUUUGGGGGUACUCGAGUGGCGAACGGGUGAGUAACACGUGAGUAACCUGCCCUUGACUUCGGGAUAACUUCAGGAAACUGGGGCUAAUACCGGAUAGGAAUCCUUGCUGCAUGGUGGGGGUUGUAAAGCUUCGGCGGUUUUGGAUGGACUCGCGGCUUAUCAGCUUGUUGGUGGGGUAGUGGCUUACCAAGGCUUUGACGGGUAGCCGGCCUGAGAGGGCGACCGGCCACAUUGGGACUGAGAUACGGCCCAGACUCCUACGGGAGGCAGCAGUGGGGAAUAUUGAACAAUGGGCGGAAGCCGGAUGCAGCAACGCCGCGUGCGGGAUGACGGCCUUCGGGUUGUAAACCGCUUUCAGCAGGGGAGAAGCUUGUGGUGACGGUACCUGCAGAAGAAGCACCGGCUAACUACGUG
rnacentral:rRNA from 1 species